GACGAACGCUGGCGGCGUGCUUAACACAUGCAAGUCGAACGGAAAGGCCCUGCUUUUGUGGGGUGCUCGAGUGGCGAACGGGUGAGUAACACGUGAGUAACCUGCCCUUGACUUUGGGAUAACUUCAGGAAACUGGGGCUAAUACCGGAUAGGAUCUCCUGCAGCAUGUUGUGCGUUGGAAAGUUACGGCGGUUGGGGAUAGACUCGCGGCUUAUGAGCUUGUUAGUCGGGUAGUGGCUUACCAAGUCUGUGACGGGUAGCCGGCCUGAGAGGGUGAACGGCCACAAGGGGACUGAGAGACGGAGCAGUAUCGUACGGGAGGCAGCGGUGGAGAGUAUUGCACAACAGGCGGAAGCGAGAUGCAGAAAUGCCGCGUGCGUAAUAACGGGUUACGAGUUAAAAACCGCUUUCGCCUGUGAUGAAGCGUGAGUGACGGUAAUGAGUAAAGAAGCAACGGCUAACUACGUG
rnacentral:rRNA from 1 species